AGAAUGGGGAAUUGAUGUUGUUAAUGGAGCCACGCAACCUGGUCUGCUUAAUUCCAGCUCAGGCUGCACAGGAGGCUACUUCUGUCUUCAUGUCAUCCUCGAAGAGUUCGGCUUUCGUGGAUACGUCUGAACCCCUCCCCGUGCUACCGAUGGGGCUUGCGCUUUUCAGCCAGCACUGAGCUGGCAACGUCAGCUGGGGUUUUCACGGUCUGCUGAUAACUGCCCAUUACUGAGAUACUACUGAGAAUUGAAUUACAGAGCCAAGGAGAGCCUCCCAAAGAGGGAUGGAUCUCGUCACACACCUGGAUAAGUGCCGCAAAGGUACUAUGGUGGAAAGGCCAUCAGAAGAAGGGGGACUAAGAGACCUCCCAGGAGGCCGACCUUACAACUGAGACCUAAAGGACGAGAAUGAUUCCAGCACGCGUAGCAGAGGAAGAGCCAGGUACCAUGAAUGUGAGCAGUGGUCAUCAAAACGAGACACUUGGGCCACAUGGGGCUAUCUAUGCCUUUUCAGGUAAGAAAUGUGGUUGGAAGCCAUGUGCCCAAAGAGUAGACCUCGAGAUGGGGUUUGCUGGUGGAAGGAAGAGUAUAAAAAGUGCUUACAAGCUGUUAGUCGAAGAAUUUAUCCGAAUGGGAAAGGAAAGCCAGAAAAAGGAGAAGGUUGGGAGACUGAAGGCCUGAGCUCAGACGUCUGCAUUUCAAGAGUCAUCUCUGACAGCCAUCGCCACUUGGUGGGGGAUUCCCUGAUUGCAACCUCACUCAUUCCUCAAAGGUAAACCCCUGUCCUGGGUGUGUUCCUCUCAGCUCAGGCAUCAGGGCUGCAAUGGCCCACCCCGAGCUUUACCACUGAGAGGCCCAUUGACGAUAUACAUUGUAUCCUGUCUACCUAGUUGCUUCUAAUCUGGCCCGAGGGCAGGAAGGCAUGUUCAAUUCUUCCAGCCUCAUCCCCACUAGUCCCUAUGUAACAGCACUGCCAAGGAGAGCAUGAUUUUCUCCUAUUCCAACCAUGUGAAGCCCACCAUGGCUUCACAGCUGUUGUCAAGGGGACAUUGCAAAAGGAGGCAAUAAAGGGCAUGCAGAUACAGAUGGAGACGUGGUUAGAAUUGAGUCCCCUGAGCAGAGAGGUUGUGGACAGUAACAACUCUACUGUUUGGGCACGUGGCUUCCAACCAUAUCCACCCCCCAGCCCCUCCAGGAACUGUUCUUUCCAUACUGUUUAGCCUUCCUUUUUUCUCUGCCAACCAACUCUUACCUUCUCUCUGGCCACUCAUCCACUGCCGUCGUUCUUCCUUUCAAAGCUAGAGUCAGUAUUAACUUUCCUUCUUCUCCACCUAGCAGUCCUAACUCUAGUGUGGCUGGACCUCCACAGCUGGGUCUAAGGCCGCCAUUCAGUGCUGAUGAGUUUUGCUAGUACAGUACCGAUCCGUGUGAGGUGGAACACUCCUGUUCCCCACAUUCCUUUCCUUUCAAGGCCAAGUGCUCCUGGGCUGGGCAUUUGGUCACCUACCAGUUUACAUUUGGGGAUUCAUUGCUCGGCACUUAACUCUGCAUUGCUACAAAAACUGUCUAGCUGGCAACAAGGUCGUGCAAAAUGUGUUCAUACUUAAGAUCCUGGCUCAGUCAUCCCUCUCUGCCUUCCUACCCUAACAGACACAUCACCCCUUAGGAUUGUGCUGAUGAAGGAGCGGCAGGCAUUUGGCGCACUAGAUCACUGCAAAUAAUAGUUAUUUUCAGAAAAAAUAUGUAAAUUGCAUGUGUUGCUGUCAUGUGUGGGUCCCCACACCUGGAACGGAAUGGAGCAGAGGCCCCGGAGCGAUGUCACUCAACAGCUUUUUACCAAGCGACAAGACCAUCAGCAGCUGAGAUGCAUUGUGCUGCUGUGACAUUAACUGCAGACAUGGAGUGCCACAGAAAAAGUUGACGCCCCCUUUUUUUUUGAAUAGAGCCCAGGGGUAAUUACUGUGACUAUUGUUCUAUUAGAAAGCUCCAUUUAUGCUCCUUCAUCAAUUCAGGAUCUUGACAUGAAAAAUCGCGGGCAUUAAGUGUUUAAGGCAAUUUGCUUUCCAAAUGAAGAAAGUCUAUUCUUCAGUCAUCAGCGCAGAUGGCCAAAGCUCACCUCACAAGGAGACUGAGGAGGGGGUUUGCUCCCUAAACAGAGCCCGGGGACAUGUUCAAGGCCUGUUCCCAGUCAUCAGUCCCAGUAGGAUAUACAGGUCUGGGUGGGCAGCCUGCAGGUGGACAGUGGCUGCCCCACAGGGGUGUGGUGUGAACUGAGGUGGGUCCAAUGAGCCCAGAUGAACCUGGCUGCCCUGUCUUGGGGGCCAGGCACGGAGUUCUGAGGAAAAGCUACAGAAAUGUUGCUCACCUUGAGAAGUAAGCUCUCAGGGCAGGUCCGUGCUCUUCCACAUGCCACAGAACAUGAGUCGGUUAUGAGGUGUGCCAUUCAAUAUGGAGUAAAAUGGGAGACUUCUGAGCUACUUACCCCCACAUGAGAACAUAAAAUGGGAACAAAAGAAAAGGCCAAACCGUGACAAAAGAGAUGGCCCCCCAAAGCGUUACUUACAU